UCGGAGUGCUUGCACUCUGUGAAACAAGAUACAGGCUAGCGGCGGACGGGUGAGUAACACGUGGGUAACCUGCCCAAGAGAUCGGGGUAACACCUGGAAACAGAUGCUAAUACCGGAUAACAACAGAUGAUGCCUAUCAACUGUUUAAAAGAUGGUUCUGCUAUCACUCUUGGAUGGACCUGCGGUGCAUUAGCUAGUUGGUAGGGUAACGGCCUACCAAGGCGAUGAUGCAUAGCCGAGUUGAGAGACUGAUCGGCCACAUUGGGACUGAGACACGGCCCAAACUCCUACGGGAGGCAGCAGUAGGGAAUCUUCCACAAUGGACGCAAGUCUGAUGGAGCAACGCCGCGUGAGUGAAGAAGGGUUUCGGCUCGUAAAGCUCUGUUGUUGGUGAAGAAGGACAGGGGUAGUAACUGACCUUUGUUUGACGGUAAUCAAUUAGAAAGUCACGGCUAACUACGUGCCAGCAGCCGCGGUAAUACGUAGGUGGCAAGCGUUGUCCGGAUUUAUUGGGCGUAAAGCGAGUGCAGGCGGCUCGAUAAGUCUGAUGUGAAAGCCUUCGGCUCAACCGGAGAAUUGCAUCAGAAACUGUCGAGCUUGAGUACAGAAGAGGAGAGUGGAACUCCAUGUGUAGCGGUGAAAUGCGUAGAUAUAUGGAAGAACACCGGUGGCGAAGGCGGCUCUCUGGUCUGUUACUGACGCUGAGGCUCGAAAGCAUGGGUAGCGAACAGGAUUAGAUACCCUGGUAGUCCAUGCCGUAAACGAUGAGUGCUAA
rnacentral:rRNA from 1 species